rnacentral:lncRNA from 1 species
ACAGAGGCUGUAGAAUGUGCACGGGGGCUUGGUCUCUCUUGCUGCCCUAGAGACCAGCUGCCCCACGAAGGAACCAGAGCCAACCUGCUGCUUCCUGGAGGAAGACAGUCCCUCUGUCCCUCUGUCUCUGCCAACCAGUUAACCUGCUGCUUCCUGGAGGAAGACAUCACUCUGUCUCUGCCAACCCAGCUGACCGCAGACAUGCAGGUCUGCUCAGGAAAAGCUUUGGAUCACAAUUCCCAGUGCUGAAGAAAAGGCCAAACUCUGGAAAAAAUUUUGAAUAUUUUGAGCCAAAUGUGAGGACCACAACCUGUGAGAACGGAAAAUAAAUCCUGGGACCCCAGACUCACUAAGCCAAAGGGAAAAGCCAAGCUGGGAACUGGCUUAUGCAAACCUGCUUCCCAUCUGGUUCCUAAAUAAGAUAGCUAUUACACAAAGA